UGAAUUGCAACACCUGUAUUGUCUCACCCUUCUCAUGAGACUGAAAAUGGAAUAAAAGUUUUUAGAACACCCUGGACACCUGAGGAAGAGGAAGGAGCCCUGUGACUCCUGUGCCAGCUUGGUGGCCUCAGGAAUGUGAUGAGAAUUCUGUCAUGCUGCUCUGGCUUCUCUGGGAAUGUUGUUUCCAAGCUGCCUGUGAGGGAUGACUGCCCAGAGAUUCCAAAGAAGGGGGAAAAUGGGAGCUUUACCCCAAAAAUCUGUGCCCAUAAGUUGUGUGCCAGUUAAAUCCAGAGCUACUCCAAAUCCAGAGCUGUAAUUUGGUGUUGGCAGCUGCUUCUCUUGGAUAUCUGCAGCCACAUCAUUUUUUGGGAGCAGCCCAUGUGGGAUCAAGGUGAUGCCUCAGUAAAAAGUUUUACCUAGCAAAAAAAACCCCCAAAUUCCGCUUGUCUUGCAGUCUUUGAGCACCAAAGCAGCAUCUCACUCCCAAAUAAAGCACAGAGUACCCCUGUGAAUCUGUGAUUACCAUUUCACAGCAUGACAGCCAGGGGUUGAUCCUGGUUUUAUCCAUUUUUUCCUGUAAUUUCUUGUGGGAUGUCUGAUGUGGCUUUAAACAAGCAAAGUUAAGGAGAUAACAAAGGGGGAAUAGGGACAGCUUCAGGACAGCUAUAUUAUUUUUUUCCUUGUUUUCUGCUGCUUUCAGUAUUGCUGCACAUUUGUUUUUCCCCUCGGAGCAUGCACAGGAUUUCUGCCAGGCAGGAAAAGGGGAUUUAUCCCUGGGGUUCUAUCCUUGUCCCCCUGAGAGGGAUUUAGCUGACACCCACUGGAACAGAUUGAUUCUCUUGGACAAGCUGCCUUUUCACCCUGCUGGUGAGCACAAAGAUCUCCUGAAUCCCCUGGGCUGGUCCUGGGGGUGGCUUUGCCCUCCUGUCCCUGGGGAACCAGCAAACCAACCCCAAAGAGGAUUCCAUCCAACCAGUCCCAUGCCUAUCUGCCAGAAAAUGGAAAUAAGGAGGGUUAAUUUAUGUUAACAAACAGCUGGAAAAGCUCCCAGCCCUGCUACAAAAGUUGGCCCCAAAUCUCAGGAGGAAAAUCUUAACCAUUAAACAAAUCCCUUUGAGCUUUAGUGGGGGAUCAGUUACACCCACUUGGUUUCAUCCUCACAUUUAACAAGGCUGUUCCAUAGGGAAAACACUGAUUUUUUUUCCCCCCCAAGCUGGGUUUUUGCCCAAUGUAACACCAGGAUUGGGAAUAGAGCCCUACACCAAGCUCACACACUGGCAGGAUGCUGAUUUAUCCACGCUCACGCUGAGCUAAAAGCUCUGUGCCAUGGAAUCAGAUCAGAAAAUGUUGUCAUAAACAGGAAUAUUGAUGUUGAGAUCAAAGGGAAUUAAAAGAAAGGGGUUUCCUCCUGGUUUAAAUUCAUGGCAGCGCUCUCGAGCACUGCACAAAUGGUGACUUGUGUCGUGUUCUGAAGGAAAAUUGGGAUGUUCAGCCCAAUUCCUUGUAAAAAACCAGCGCAGGGAAAAUGAAGAGGCAGCCCCAGAGAGUGAGGAAUUACAGCAAGAAAUUUGUAGAGACACCUGGUGAGAAAACUAUUUAUGAAAAUGUCAGUGAAACGUUAUUGGAUGUAAUGAGUCACCCCAAAAAAACCAACACAACAAAAAAAAAGGUAAAAUCCUGAGAUAAAAGAUUUGUUCUGAAAUAAUGGAGUAGCAAAGAUGAGUAUUAAAGUGCUUUUUCAAAAUCCCUCUCUAAAUGAUGGCAGUCAAACAAUGGAGUAGAUAUUUGGGAAAGGAAAGAACACAAACAAAUGCUAAAAAUUCAGUGAUAAUUUUGAGUAAAGGGUUGAGAAUCCCCACCCUCAGAGGGGGAAUCAAGACAAAUAAAUACAAUUAUUUAGCUGAAAGAGGGAAUGUGACUUAGAUAAUAACAUAUUGUAUAUUGAAUAUCCUGUAUUAUUUUAUAUUUUUAUAUAUAUAUAAAAUAUAUCCAUAUAAUGAGGAUGAAUAAAACAGAAAUGAGAAUGAAAUGCUCUUUUUGCACUCCUCUUAAUGCAGGAUCUGAGGACACUUCCUGAUGCUGAAAGACUGAAUUCUCAGGGGAUAAAAGGAGCUCAAAUUAACCUCCAGCCAUGGGAUAUCCCUGAGAUCAAGGACUUGGAGGGAGUCCCAAGUGGACAGGGCACUGCUGUGGCUGAGAACACCCAAAGUCAUGAAAUUGCUGGAAUUUCCCCAACAAAAUCUACUCCAGUGGAAUAAGGAGCUGCAGCUGAUAGAACCUGGAUUUUGCAGGAGAGGCAAUUUGCACAAAUGCCCAGAGAAAAACAAUCAGCAAUUCAAAGGAAAACAUGUUGGGCUCCUUUCUUCUGAAAUGACUCCCUGGAAGAGAAUUGGUCCGAAAUAAGGAUUUGUGUUACAAUAAAUGAGAGUUUG